ACGCACGCUGGCGGCGUGCUUCACACAUGCCAGUCGCACGGAAAGGCCCUGCUUUUGUGGGGUGCUCGAGUGGCGAACGGGUGAGUAACACGUGAGUAACCUGCCCUUGACUUUGGGAUAACUUCAGGAAACUGGGGCUAAUACCGGAUAGGAGCUCCUGCUGCAUGGUGGGGGUUGGAAAGUUUCGGCGGUUGGGGAUGGACUCGCGACUUAUCAGCUUGUUGGUGGGGUAGUGGCUUACCAAGGCUUUGACGGGUAGCCGGCCUGAGAGGGUGACCGGCCACAUUGGGACUGAGAUACGGCCCAGACUCCUACGGGAGGCAGCAGUGGGGAAUAUUGCACAAUGGGCGGAAGCCUGAUGCAGCAACGCCGCGUGCGGGAUGACGGCCUUCGGGUUGUAAACCGCUUUCGCCUGUGACGAAGCGUGAGUGACGGUAAUGGGUAAAGAAGCACCGGCUAACUACGUG
rnacentral:rRNA from 1 species